rnacentral:rRNA from 1 species
AUGCUUGGGCUGCGUCACUGGGUCGUGACAGUGCCGGAGGACGAGGACGGCGAGGCCGGGUGCCGCGACACCGCGUUGGCCGCGGCCGGUGAAGGGGGCAAAGAAGGGCGGCUUCCCUGGCCCUGGCCGUGGCCGUGGCCCUGGGAGUUGGUGCGGUGGAAGCGGCACUUGAAGGACCCGCGCGUUGGUGGCCGGCGCGCAGACGCACUUGGAAGCGGGCCCGUGGCCCGCGCCGGACGGCACCGACGCCGACCCGGGCCACCUCCUCCGCGUAUUCUUGGAGCUGUGGCUGGCCGAUUUACAUGA